rnacentral:snRNA from 1 species
GUAAGUACUAGAGAUCAGGGUGUUCUGGCUGAUGCAGAGGAUGUCCACUUCCUUUUUCACUACUACAUGUGCUUCCCUCCAGAAGCUACUGCAAGGUCAGUGGACGAGGAUGACAUUCAUGGAAUUUGGACAAAUGAGUCUUCAGUGGAUGGUAUAUGAGUAGCUUUGCUCCUCAGCUAGAACCUCCAAACAAGCUCUCAUACUGUAUGUACUGAAUUCUUAUGUUGAUCCAAGAGCUAUGCAAGGUGAUAAAAUAGAUUUGUUUUCUGCUU